AGUUUGCUUUGAGGUAAGGAUGGCCAGUGUGGAUCUUUCUUAUAUAAUCUCUAGGUCUUAUAUUUUAGUUUCCUACCUGAAAAUUUGUGAUGCCACUUUUAAUCUACGACGGUAAAGGAAAACAAUUUCUCUUAUAUGCUAUUUAAGAGUUAGGUAUUUAAGAUUAAAGGAACUAUGUAUAAAUAUCACUUAUCCAGAAGUCUUCUGAAUAUUUCAUUUCUCAUGGAAAUGCUGGAUGUUUUUAAGCAACAUUAUCCAUUAUAAAACAAUUCAAAAAGGGGGAAGAAAAUCCUACAAAGAUAACAAAAACUGUGAGGUUUUUUUUGUAUGAAGUAGCCAAUUUUCACAAAAAGUGCUGUUAGCGGUUUAUAACACUGCUAGGAAAUGUAUUUUAUAUUAAAAAUCGCUAACAGCACAGUCAUUGUUUUCAAGAUGCUUUAGAAUGGGAAGAAAUGUUCAAUCUUUUUAACGUGUAUCGGCAUGUAUAGGGUGUACUCUUUUAAAGAAAAAUUUCAACUAUUAUAAAAUCUAAGAAACUUUAAAACUGUGUCAUUUAUAAUGUAAAAUUAAUGCAGCUGAGAUUCAGUGGUUGACUCAUAGCUCCCACAUUCAUCUUCAGUUCUCUUUAGCUCAUAUGGUUUUCUUUAAAAAUUAGUGAUAUCAGCUAAAUGGAACUAUUUUCCACUCCUACCCACAGAGAAAAGUGCUUUUGUGAACAUGUCAGCUCUGUUCCAUCAUUACAUGCCAUCAUGCAGUGCAACAGAAGCAGGCUGGCUGUGCAUACUUGAUAACCAAUAUUAGUACAGAUUUGAGAGCAAAAUCCAAAGAAGAUAAUACUGUAUUUCCAUCUAUUUAUUUUAUGCACAUAAGCCACCUUUUUAGAACCAAGGAAUUUUAUAGCUAGACAAGAUCUUGGAAGUCUUCCAAUCUAGCCUCUUUAUUUUGUACAUAUGGAAACUGAGGCACAAAGAGGUUCAGCAACUUCCCCAAGGUCACAUAGCUGGUAGAGGUAGGCUGGGACUAGAACCCAGGUCUGUGUGACUCCAAAGUCUGUGCUCCUCCCACUAUACUGCUUCACAGAUAGGAGCUGAUCUGCCUCAAAUCUUCUGCCCCUUGGCCUUUCCACAACUCUGCAUUGCUGCCAUCUAACAGUGCCUUCCACUGGUGCCAUGCUAAAGCUCGUUAGGAGGCAACUUAACAUUGUUCUGUAAAAGCUCUACAGAUGUAGGAUGCUAGCUAUCUGUUCUCCCCGGAAAUCUUUUCAAUUCAAUUCUGCAAAUAACUUAGGCUUUCCCAGACUAAGCAGUUCCUUCUCUCAUUCCUGCAAUUUGCUUUCCAGUUACCUUCUUCUGGACACAUUCAUUUCCAGUGCCCCUUCUGUUAAAAUGGGCCCCACUAGAAUCUCUGUUGCUGGGCACGGUGGCUCACGCCUGUAAUCCCGGCACUUUGGGAGGCUGAGGCGGGUGGAUCACCUGAGGUGGGGAGUUCAAGACCAGCCUGACCAACAUGAAGAAACCCCAUCUCUACUAAAAAUACAAAAUUAGGCAGACAUGGUGGCACGUGCUUGUAAUCCCACCUACUUGGGAGGCUAAGGCAGGAGAAUCGCUUGAGCCCGGGAAGCUGAGGUUGUGGUGAGCCAAGAUCGCUUCAUUGCACUCUAGCCUGGACAACAAGAGCGAAACUCCGUCUCAAAAAGAAAAAAAAAAUUGGCCCCACUCAAAAUGGUACUCCUCCAAGUUGCUUUUUCAUCCUUGUAUUCCCCAUGGUCAUUCAUCCCACUGCUGUCCUUCUGUCUCCAAGUCCUCUUUGCCUUGCUUCCUUCCCUCUCAACCCA
rnacentral:lncRNA from 1 species